ACGGCCCGAAGGCCGGGGAGCCAAGUUCGUGCAGCGGAAAAAGGCCACAAAAACGGUUGGCUAUAGCCUUUGGGGGUGGGGCUGACCAACUUCGUCCGCCGGACUCGGAUUGGCGCGAUACUUUGUGAGGCACCUCCGUGUGCCAAAAAUAGGCCACAUGCACAGCCACGCCCAAAAAUAACCGCCCGAAGGCUGGAGCGCCAAGUUCGUCCAGCGGAAAAAGGCCACAAAAACGGGUGGGCUAUAGCAUUGGGGUGUGGGGCUGGCCAACUUCGUCCGCUGGACUCGGAAUGGCGCGAGACUUUGCGAGGGGCCUCCGUGUGCAGGAAAUAGGCUGCGGGUGGGCUAUAGCAUUGGGGUGUGGGGCUGGCCACCUUCGUCCGCCGGACUCGGAAUGCCGCGAGACUUUGCGAGGUGCCUCCGUGUGCCAAAAAUAGGCUGCGGGCACAGCCGCGCCCAAAAAUAACCGCCCAAAGGCCGGGGCGCCAAGUUCGUGCAGCGGAAAAAGGCCACAAAAACGGUUGGGCUAUAGCAUUGGGGGGUGGGGCUGGCGAACUUCGUCCGCCGGACACGGAAUGGCGCGAGACUUUGCGAGGUGCCUCCGUGUGCCAAAAAUAGGCUGCGGGCACAGCCGCACCCAAAAAUCACCGCCGAAAGGCCGGGGCGCCAAGUUCGUCCAGCGGGAAAAGGGCACAAAAACGGGUGGGCUAUAGCAUUGGGGGN
rnacentral:lncRNA from 1 species